rnacentral:rRNA from 2 species
ACGGAAGGCAGCAGUGGGGAAUAUUGGACAAUGGGGGAAACCCUGAUCCAGCGACGCCGCGUGAGUGAAGAAGUAUUUCGGUAUGUAAAGCUCUAUCAGCAGGGAAGAUGAUGACGGUACCUGACUAAGAAGCCCCGGCUAACUACGUGCCAGCAGCCGCGGUAAUACGUAGGGGGCAAGCGUUAUCCGGAUUUACUGGGUGUAAAGGGAGCGUAGGCGGCUGUGCAAGUCAGAAGUGAAAACCCGGGGCUCAACCUCGGGACUGCUUUUGAAACUGUAUAGCUAGAGUGCAGAAGAGGCAAGCGGAAUUCCUAGUGUAGCGGUGAAAUGCGUAGAUAUUAGGAAGAACACCGGUGGCGAAGGCGGCUUGCUGGGCUGAGACUGACGCUGAGGCUCGAAAGCGUGGGGAGCAAACAGGAUUAGAUACCCUGGUA